rnacentral:rRNA from 1 species
CCUACGGGAGGCAGCAGUGGGGAAUAUUGCGCAAUGGGCGAAAGCCUGACGCAGCGACGCCGCGUGAGGGAUGAAGGUCUUCGGGUCUUAAACCUCUGUCAGCAGGGAAGAACGGUCACUGUGCUAUUCAGCAUUGAAUUGACGGUACCUGCAGAGGAAGCACCGGCUAACUCCGUGCCAUCAGCCGCGGUAAUACGGAGGGUGCGAGCGUUAAUCGGAAUUACUGGGCGUAAGGCGCUCGUAGGCGUUAUGUCAAGUCAAGGGUGAAAUCCCCGCGCUCAACGUGGGAACUGCCUUUGAAACUGGCAAACUGGAGUGUGUGAGAGGAUAGUGGAAUUCCAGGUGUAGGAGGGAAAUCCGUAGAUAUCUGGAGGAACAUCAGUGGCGAAGGCGACUAUCUGGCACAUAACUGACGCUGAGGAGCGAAAGCGUGGGUAGCAAACAGGAUUAGAUACCCUUGUAGUC